rnacentral:lncRNA from 1 species
GUGGGCCGAAGGAAAAGAUUUGGGAUCUUAGUUGAUGCCCUAGGUUAGGGGCACAGGAGUGUUUAUUUUAAGAACCUGCCAUGUUUUUUAAUCACUGUGAUAUUUCCAUUCCUUUUAUCCUAAAACAAAGAGAAGAAGUUUCCCUGACUCCCUGUCUAAGCACUAAGGGCUGUGACUUAAGAAUGGUAGCGUUUUGGUCCUUCGUGUCAGAACUGUGGUAUCUUCGUCUGCUUUGGUUGUUAUUAUUUUUUAAGAUGUCAGGAUGAAUUGUCAAAUGUAUGGCUCUGUGUGUGCGAGGUGUGUGUGUGUGUGUGUGUGUGUGUGUGUGUGUGUGUGUGUGUGUCUUUUGCUUCUCCAGAAUGGGAAGUUGUCUUCAUGCUGUGAACUGCUAUGGGUGGGCAGCUGACCCAGUCUCUCUGAGCAGUUUCCUCAACCAGCGCUGUCCCACCGGUGGCUCCGUGGUUUCUCAUGCUUGCACUGCGGGCAUGAGACUAGCCUGCUCAGCUCUCUCACCAUAGGGGAUGCUGGGCUGGGCUACUCCAGUGCACUCUGUGUGUGUGCUCCGGCUGGGUGGCAUCCUGGCUCAUCCCCACUACACAACUUGGCCUUUGUUUUCAUGACCUCAGUGCGGGCUUACCGCUCUUCCCUCUACACCAGGACGCCGUGCCUCCACACCAGGACACCGUGCCUCCGUCCAUCACCUACCUCGCCACUGUCACCCUCCCCAUUGGUCCCUUUCCAGUUUCUCCUUAAAUGUAUGUCUUUGUUCUCUCUGUUGAUCUCCCACUUCCUCUGAUCCCUGCCAUUACGCUCUGUGCUUUCGCUCCUAGCUGGCUGGCCACAGCAUUCCCGUUGUGAAUCCUGAUUUAAUAAAGACAAGGAGGCAGGAUUCUCUUAGUCCCUGUUUGUCUGGGUCCCUGCUCUCCCUGUUGGUUGGGCCUAGCUCUGCCUUGUCCCUUCCUGGUGUCUGUCUGUCGGUCUUUUUUCUUUCCUCUCUUCUCCCCGUGGGGCAGCAUCUGCUGAUGGAUUCUGUUCUGAUUGUGUGAUUGUUGUAAUUUGUCCUUCUGUGCGCAAAAGGAAGGGCUUCUUGAAUCUCUUCCAAGUGAGAUUGUAAAUGUAGAACUUUCCAUUGUUGGAUCUAGAUUUUUUAAAAUCCUUUUUCUUCUCUCUCUUUCUUUUCUUCUUUUUUAUUUUCAAAAUUUUUAAAACAAAUUUUUGGGGCUAUUUUUUUUUUGUUUGUUCCAGAGCUGAGACCUUGUGCAUGCAUGUAGAAAAUUGUAAAAUGUAAAUUUUUUUUAAUAUAUAAAAAGCUUGUUUUUACAUUUGCAGUGGAUUAAACAUUAUGGCAAUUUUAGGGACUUUUUUUUCUUAAACAUAGGAACUAAAACUGUACAAAAAUUUUUUUUAUAUAUAAAAUAAAGACAUUUGACUUU